CAUGCAUGAGGUGCAUGAAGUCCAAGGCCAUGAGCAGAGCAGUUUAUCCGGGUUACAGAAAGUUGAAAUCAGACACCAACCGACCAUUUCUGUUCCACAUGACUUGGGAUUCACAUGACUAUUGUCUUGUGGAUUGACUACCAUGGAAGAUUUGCUUGUGUCUAGGAGACUUCCAGAUUGUCUGGAAAAUGAAAGCUGGAAUAUUCUUUAUGGGAUAAUAACAGAGCUGGAGCCAUGCCAAGAUCACCUUUUAAAGGAACAUAUUACAUCAUUUCUUUUUUUGCUGAAAUUUUAAGACUAGCACCAUGGCUACCUUUAACAUGGAAUGCCAACUUCCAGGUGUGAGGUUAGUAUUAAUAAAACCUACAGUCACCAAACCAACACUCU
rnacentral:lncRNA from 1 species